CCCAGACUCCUACGGGAGGCAGCAGUGGGGAAUAUUGGGCAAUGGGCGCAAGCCUGACCCAGCAACGCCGCGUGAAGGAAGAAGGUUUUCGGGUUGUAAACUUCUUUUGACAGGGAAGAGUAGAAGACGGUACCUGUCGAAUAAGCCACGGCUAACUACGUGCCAGCAGCCGCGGUAAUACGUAGGUGGCAAGCGUUGUCCGGAUUUACUGGGUGUAAAGGGCGUGCAGCCGGGCUGACAAGUCAGAUGUGAAAUCCCGCGGCUCAACCGCGGAACUGCAUUUGAAACUGUCAGUCUUGAGUACCGGAGAGGUCAUCGGAAUUCCUUGUGUAGCGGUGAAAUGCGUAGAUAUAAGGAAGAACACCAGUGGCGAAGGCGGAUGACUGGACGGCAACUGACGGUGAGGCGCGGAAGCGUGGGGAGCAAACAGGAUUAGAUACCCUCGUA
rnacentral:rRNA from 1 species